rnacentral:rRNA from 1 species
AGCUCCAAUAGCGUAUAUUAAAGUUGCUGCAGUUAAAAAGCUCGUAGUUGGAUCUCGGGUGCAGGCUUGCGGUCCGUCUCGCGGCGGUCACUGCUCGUCCUGGCCUCCUCGCCGGCGUACCGUCCCUUGGUGCUCUUGACUGAGUGUCUCGGGCGGCCGGAACGUUUACUUUGAAGAAAUUAGAGUGCUCAAAGCAGGCCUUGGCCGCCUGCAUAAUGGUGCAUGGAAUAAUGGAAUAGGACCUCGGUUCUAUUUUGUUGGUUUUCGGAGCUCGAGGUAAUGAUUAAUAGGGACUGACGGGGGCAUUCGUAUUGCGGCGCUAGAGGUGAAAUUCUUAGACCGUCGCAAGACGAACUACAGCGAAAGCAUUUGCCAAGCAUGUUU